AGGGACAGACGAAGAACCAGACCAAAGCUGCACAGACCAGCGACCCGGCUAAGGUGAUGAGGAAGAUGGCCCACACCGGGAGCAUCUCCAGUCCGAGCACUGCAACCAACACAACAUUCCCAACAACAAGGGAGCAGACACAAAGCUCUGAAGCAAACAGUGCCUCCACCUCCUAACCAAUCAGUGACUGACGGUCAGCGACAUCAUAUCACCGAACUGGGCUGGAACCACAGCGAUGCAGCUACUGGAAAGUUGGAGGAAGAUUCCGAGCCGUGCUGUUGGAAUCCCCCGUUUCUUGUUUAAACUCACCUAUCCUGCACACAGAGCUCUGGUUGCAACCGAAGUGUGCUGAAAAAUGAGUAUUGAUCUUUAACUGCUUUUAUGCACGUUUCCAGAACGGCGCUGCUCUGGGCGGCUGCAUGUUGGAGUAGCUCUGUUGAUUAUAUGUAAGUUUUGCCUUUUUUGGACAUUUUUUCUUCUAGUUUCUCAAGAAAAACUGUAUUUUUUUGACAUUUUACUUUUCUGUUUCUGAUGCUGUGAAGCUUGGAGGAUUUUUACUGCUAUUUUUUUCACUUUUUGAGCAUUUGUUAUGAUGCGUAACCAUGGCAACAAGCUGGUUUACAAUCGGGAGCAGCUGAUUAACAUUGGAAAGGCUGAAAUAAUACCUCGACUGAAGCCACAAAUCCCAAAUGAGCUAAAACGCAAGAAGCGUGGGUGCAGAGCGGGAGCACAACGGAGACAGAGAAAGAGGAAAUUCAAACCAUCUCUUCCAUCGAUCAUAACGGGCAAUGUGAGAUCACUGGCCAACAAGAUGGAGGAACUCCAAGCCCUUUCAAGGACUCAGCCAGAGUUUCAGCAGUUUUGGAACCACUGGAGGAGAUAAUGCAAAGAAGGAUUCUCCAGAGAAUCAAGAAAAUGAUGGACAACCCUGAGCGUUCUCUUCACAAGACUGUCCGACAACGGAAGAGUGUCUUCAGUCAGAGGCUUCUUCAGUUUGGCUGCAACACUGACCGCUACUGGAGAUCCUUCCUGCCAACAGCCAUUGUAAUAUACAACAACUCUUUGAUGACUUGAUUAUUAUUAUUAUUCUGAGCUACUACAGCAAUCAGUUUCCCUCUGGGAUUAAUAAAGUAUUUUUGAAUGGAA